UACAGAGGUCUCGAGCGUUGUUCGGAUUCAUUGGGCGUAAAGGGGGCGUAGGUGGCGCCGUAAGUCGGGUGUGAAAUUUCGGAGCUUAACUCCGAAACUGCAUUCGAUACUGCGGUGCUUGAGGACUGGAGAGGAGACUGGAAUUCAUGGUGUAGCAGUGAAAUGCGUAGAGAUCAUGAGGAAGACCAGUGGCGAAGGCGGGUCUCUGGACAGUUCCUGACACUGAGGCACGAAGGCCAGGGGAGCAAACGGG
rnacentral:rRNA from 1 species